rnacentral:rRNA from 1 species
UUCGCAAUGCCCGAAAGGGUGACGAAGCGACGCCGCGUGCGGGAAGAAGGCCUUCGGGUUGUAAACCGCUGUCGGGAGUUAGGAAAUGCAAGGAUGUUAAUAGCGUCUUUGCUUGACUAAGGCUCCGGAGGAAGCCACGGCUAACUCUGUGCCAGCAGCCGCGGUAAUACAGAGGCGGCAAGCGUUGUUCGGAAUUAUUGGGCGUAAAGAGCACGUAGGCGGCCGUGUAAGUCGGUUGUGAAAGCCUUCCGCUCAACGGGAGAACGGCAUCCGAUACUGCAUGGCUCGAGUGCGGGAGGGGAGAGUGGAACUUCUGGUGGAGCGGUGAAAUGCGUAGAUAUCAGAAGGAACACCGGCGGCGAAGGCGACUCUCUGGCCCGCAACUGACGCUGAGUGUGCGAAAGCUAGGGGAGCAAACGGGAUUAGAUACCCCGGUAGUCCUAGCCGUAAACGAUGGGCACUAAGUAGAGGGGUUUU